CAGCAGCCGCGGUAGUACGAAGGGGGCUAGCGUUGCUCGGAAUUACUGGGCGUAAAGGGAGCGUAGGCGGAUGUUUGAGUCAGAGGUGAAAGCCCAGGGCUCAACCUUGGAACUGCCUUUGAUACUGGACAUCUUGAGUGUGGGAGAGGUAAGCGGAACUCCGAGUGUAGAGGUGAAAUUCGUAGAUAUUCGGAAGAACACCAGUGGCGAAGGCGGCUUACUGGCCCAUUACUGACGCUGAGGCUCGAAAGCGUGGGGAGCAAACAGGAUUAGAUACCCGCGUAGUCCCUGUCUCUUAUAC
rnacentral:rRNA from 1 species